CAGUGAGCAAGGUUCAGUUUAGGGAUUGAGAACCCUCAGCGACUAUAACAUCUAGCCCAUAUUCACAUUGUAGCACUUGAUUGCUGCCACUGAUUCUUCAAAAUGCCUAUCUUGUAUGGGAUGCUUGACAGUCAAAUGGAAUGAUUUAAACAAAUGCCAAAGGUGAGACAUGCUGGAAAAGCUUGAUAUGAAUGUGUAGACGCAGUUUUGGAAUUCAGAGGUGCAGCCGGCUGUUGGGAUUGUGCCAUCCAGGCAAUGUGGAUGUUCUGCCAUGUACAUGAUAAACCAAGGAUUCUUCGUCAACAGGCAAAAUGUUACUCCCUGUAAACUACUGUUGGCAGAAUAGCUGAUCCAUUGGGAAAACGGUUAUGGCAAGUGCGAUGAAUAAAUCACCAUAGGUCAGUUGUCUUGCCUUCACAAUUGCAACGAAGAUGAAUCAUGGAG